UACGUAGGGUGCGAGCGUUAAUCGGAAUUACUGGGCGUAAAGCGCACGUAGGCGGCUUUUUAAGUCAGAGGUGAAAUCCUGGAGCUCAACUCCAGAACUGCCUUUGAUACUGGAGAGCUUGAGCCCGGGAGAGGUGAGUGGAACUGCGAGUGUAGAGGUGAAAUUCGUAGAUAUUCGCAAGAACACCAGUGGCGAAGGCGGCUCACUGGCCCGGUACUGACGCUGAGGUGCGAAAGCGUGGGGAGCAAACAGG
rnacentral:rRNA from 1 species